ACGUAGGGAGCAAGCGUUAUCCGGAUUUACUGGGUGUAAAGGGCGCGCAGGCGGGCCGGCAAGUUGGGAGUGAAAUCUAUGGGCUUAACCCAUAAACUGCUUUCAAAACUGCUGGUCUUGAGUGAUGGAGAGGCAGGCGGAAUUCCGUGUGUAGCGGUGAAAUGCGUAGAUAUACGGAGGAACACCAGUGGCGAAGGCGGCCUGCUGGACAUUAACUGACGCUGAGGCGCGAAAGCGUGGGGAGCAAACAG
rnacentral:rRNA from 1 species